UACGUAGGGUGCAAGCGUUGUCCGGAAUUAUUGGGCGUAAAGAGCUCGUAGGCGGCUUGUCGCGUCGGCUGUGAAAACCCAGGGCUCAACCCUGGGCCUGCAUUCGAUACGGGCAGACUAGAGUAUGGCAGGGGAGACUGGAAUUCCUGGUGUAGCGGUGAAAUGCGCAGAUAUCAGGAGGAACACCGGUGGCGAAGGCGGGUCUCUGGGCCGAAACUGACGCUGAGGAGCGAAAGUGUGGGGAGCGAACAGG
rnacentral:rRNA from 1 species